rnacentral:misc_RNA from 1 species
CCAAUAGCGUAUAUUAAAGUUGUUGCAGUUAAAAAGCUCGUAGUUGAAUUUCGGAAUCAAUAUUUCGGUCAUGCCGUUGGUAUGCACUGUUAUCAUUGAUUUCUCACCUUCUAAAGAACCGUAAUGCCAUUAAUUUGGUGUUACGGGGAAUUAGGACUGUUACCUUGAAAAAAUUAGAGUGUUUAAAGCAGGCUCACGCUUGAAUACAUUAGCAUGGAAUAAUGAAAUAGGACAUCCGAUUCUAUUUUGUUGGUUUCUAGGAUCGAUGUAAUGAUUAAUAGGGAUAGUUGGGGGCAUUAGUAUUCAAUUGUCAGAGGUGAAAUUCUUGGAUUUAUUGAAGACUAACUACUGCGAAAGCAUUUGCCAAGGAUGUUUUCAUUAAUCAAGAACGAAAGUUAGAGGUUCGAAGGCGAUCAGAUACCGCCCUAGUUCUAACCAUAAACGAUGCCAACCAGCAAUCUGCCUGAGUUCCUUAAAUGACUCGGCAGGCGGCUUCCG